GUAUCUUCACAUGAUAAAGAAAGAAGAAGAUAAUCUUUUCUUCAAAUCUGUUGGGCUCUGUAUCUUCACAUGAUAAAGAAAGAAGAAGAUAAUCUUUUCUUCAAAUCGGUUGAGCUCGAUAUCCGCUGAACAGAUUCGCAUGUCAUUGCAAAACAAUAAUCCUCCGGUCCAAUAAGAAUAUAAAUAGAAUAGGUUAUGGAUCCUUUGAUCGAUCUUGAUUAUGACAAAUUGUUCCAUAUCAUAAUUAUUAAUCCCAUUCUUAUUCCUUGUUUGGAGGAACCAAUCUCGAUUUUUAGAAACCUUAAACCUUGUUGGCUUUUGCUAUAUAAAGAGGUGUUGCACCAUUCUUUUUAUACAAGAAACUUCUCCAUCUCGCACCAGUCCUAUGUUUUCAUAUUUAUUCCGAGGAGUAGACAUGGCGUGAUAUUGCUUUUGGCUCAGCACUUUCUGUUGAAUUUGCAUGAACAGUUGGGCGAUGAGCCGAAUCAAUAUCACUCUUGUAUGCUUCUUUGCAUCAAAUCAGCAAGCCUCAGGUAAUGUAAACAGUUUCACUCUCUCGGAUAUUUUCGAUAUUUUCAAUGGUUUCAGACUACAUAAAACUGUGUAGAUCCAUAAUUUCUUGAAAAGGGAUGAAUAGCGAUUGUGAGUAGAAUCAGUAGUUCGGUUCCUGACUCAAGGAAUGAAAGCCGGCUCGGUAAACAUUCCUUUAUCAAGUACGCUCAUAAAUCAGGCACUUCGUUUUCUGUCAUUUCGUUUUAAUUCCUAUAAUCUUCAUAAUUCAUCUCUUCAAUGAAUACAGAUUACUGAUGCAUUUCGAGCAUCAGGAACCACCAUGAUACGAAAAAAAGGAAGUUAAUUUCAGAUUCAACAAUAUUUUUAAUAUUCCCAUGUUAAAGAUGCCUUUCUUUUCUGAAUUCUUUGGUUAAAAUGUUGUAGCUUAUGGAGGUAGCUUUGAUCCGUUCAUGGCACAAAGUAGAUACAAGAUGAGAUUUGACAUGGACACGCAAAGCCAGAAGAAAAGAACAAGAAACAUUACAGUUAUGGAGAAUUAAGGAAGUGCUUCCAACCUUACAAACGGUUUAAGCUUUUAGACGAUGUUGAUCCGAGCAGAGGACUCGAGUUCAAGAAAUCGUAUUUGUCUGGCCUCAGUGAAACUGCAAAUGACGGUACUUUGGAGUCGUAAUUAAUUUCAUAUCUGACCCUCUUUAGAAUUGCUGGUUCAACAUGAUACCAAAGCUGAAAUAAACCAUUCUUGCUGCAUAGUUUCUGUCAUUUUGUGCGGAAGACUUUUAGAAUCAUAAAACAAAAAUAUCCCACAGAUACUGAGUGAAAAUGAAAGCAUUACCAAAGAAAUUGUCUUGGAGAAGAAACAUAUUGGCCCGG
rnacentral:lncRNA from 1 species